GACUUUGAAGACGUGAUUGCAGAACCAGA
rnacentral:piRNA from 1 species